UACGGAGGGGCUAGCGUUGUUCGGAAUUACUGGGCGUAAAGCGCACGUAGGCGGCUUUGUAAGUUAGAGGUGAAAGCCCGGGGCUCAACUCCGGAAUUGCCUUUAAGACUGCAUCGCUAGAAUUGUGGAGAGGUAAGUGGAAUUCCGAGUGUAGAGGUGAAAUUCGUAGAUAUUCGGAGGAACACCAGUGGCGAAGGCGGCUCACUGGUCCGGAACUGACGCUGAGGUGCGAAAGCGUGGGGAGCAAACAGG
rnacentral:rRNA from 1 species